rnacentral:rRNA from 1 species
GGAUUCCCCUAGUAACUGCGAGUGAAGAGGGAAGAGCUCAAAUUUGAAAUCUGGCAGUGUUUUGCUGUCCGAGUUGUAAUCUAGAGAAGUGCUGCCCGUGCUGGACCAUGUACAAGUCUCCUGGAAUGGAGCGUCACAGAGGGUGAGAAUCCCGUCUUUGACAUGGACUGCCAGUGCAUUUGUGGUGUGCUCUCAAAGAGUCGAGUUGUUUGGGAAUGCAGCUCUAAAUGGGUGGUAAACUCCAUCUAAAGCUAAAUAUUGGCGAGAGACCGAUAGCGAACAAGUACCGUGAGGGAAAGAUGAAAAGAACUUUGGAAAGAGAGUUAAACAGUAUGUGAAAUUGUUGAAAGGGAAACGCUUAAAGUCAGUCGUGUCGGCCAGGGAUCAACUCAGUAUUAUCUGCUGGGUGUACUUCCUGAUCUGAUGGGCCAACAUCAGUUUUGACUGCUGGAAAAGGAUAGAGGGAAUGUGGCACCUUUGGGUGUGUUAUAGCUCUCUGUCGGAUGCAGUGGUUGGGACUGAGGAAAGCAGCAUGCCGCAAGGCCGGGUCGUUUCGACCACGUUCAUGCUGAGGAUGUUGGCAUAAUGGCUUUAAUCGACCCGUCU